AUUGAACGCUGGCGGCAGGCCUAACACAUGCAAGUAGCGCGAGAGGCGGACGGGUGAGUCAUUUAUGGGGAUCUGGCUGAUGUAGGGUGAUAAGUACUGGAAACGGUCGAUACUACCGCACACGACCCUCUGCACCUAUAUUGGAUUAGCUUGUAGGUGAGGUAACGGCUAACCUAGGCGACGAUCCCUAGCUGGUCUGAGAGGAUGAUCAGCCACACUGGGACUGAGACACGGCCCAGACUCCUACGGGAGGCAGCAGUGGGGAAUAUUGCACAAUGGGCGCAAGCCUGAUGCAGCCAUGCCGCGUGUAUGAAGAAGGCCUUCGGGUUGUAAAGUACUUUCAGUCGGGAGGCGUUACCGACAGAAGAAGCACCGGCUAACUCCGUGCCAGCAGCCGCGGUAAUAC
rnacentral:rRNA from 1 species